rnacentral:rRNA from 1 species
CUACGGGGUGCUGCAGUUAGGGAUAUUCGGCAAUGGGGGAAACCCUGACCGAGCAAUGCCGCGUGAAUGAAGAAGUAUUUCGAUAUGUAAAGUUCUGUUGUUAAGGAAGAAGGGUACGAAUAGGAAAUGAUUCGUAAUUGACGGUACUUAACCAGAAAGCCCCUGCUAACUACGUGCCAGCAGCAGCGGUAAUACGUAGGGGGCGAGCGUUAUCCGGAAUUAUUGGGCGUAAAGGGUGCGUAGGCGGCCUGUCAAGUCCGAGUUGAAAGCCCACGGCUUAACCGUGGAGGGUGCUCGGAAACUGAUAGGCUUGAAUCCAGACGAGGCAAGUGGAAUUCUAUGUGGAGCGGUGGAAUGCGUAGAUAUAUGGAGGAACACCAGUGGCGAAGGCGGCUUGCUGGGCUGGUAUUGACGCUGAUGCACGAAAGCGUGGGGAGCAAACAGGAUUAGAUACCCGUGUAGUC